rnacentral:misc_RNA from 1 species
UAAUAAGUGUUUUAUGGCACUUUUUAAAUCCAUAUCCCACCUUGUGUGCAAUGUCAGUCGAUCUUCUUCAUGGAGAUCGACCAAACAUCAACCUUUAUCUUUUAACUCUUUGUCUGAAAAAUAUUAUGAAUAAACAAUUCAAAAUA